UAAAUCCAGCACAUAUAGCACAUUAAAAAAUAGAGCACCACGUAAAACAUGUAUAUUAAAAGCAAUUGAAAACAAUAAAAGAUGUAACUAUCAGGUGAGAAAUGGAGGACUAUUGUAUGUGGAAAGCUAAUCUGAAGAGGUGUGUUUUGAUUGGUGUUUUGAAUGUGUCCAGGGUAGUACACUCAAGAGAGAGAGA